rnacentral:rRNA from 1 species
GACGAACGCUGGCGGCGUGCUUAACACAUGCAAGUCGAACGGAAAGUCCCUUCUUUUUUUGUUUUCUCUUUUUGCUAUCUUGUUUUUAACACUUGUUUACCCUUCCCUUUUCUUUGUUAUAUCUUCUUGUAACUUUUUCUAAUACCUUAUAUUUUCUCCUGCUGCUUGUUGUUGUUUGGUUAGUUUCGGCGGUUGGGUAUUGACUCGCGGCUUAUCAGCUUGUUGGUUGGGUAGUGGCUUACCAAGGCUUUGACGGGUAGCCGGCCUGAGAGGGUGACCGGCGAAAUUGGGACUGAGAUACGGACCAGAAUGCAACGGGAGGCAGCAGUGGGGAAUAUUGCAAAAUGGGAGGAAGCCUGAGGAAGCAACGCGGGGUGCGGGAUGACGGGCUUCGGGUUGUAAAAAGAUUUAGAAUGAGAAGAAGCGAGAGUGACGGUAAUGGGUAAAGAAGCACCGGCUAACUACGUG